CGCUGAACUUAAGCAUAUCAAUAAGCGGAGGAAAAGAAACCAACAGGGAUUGCCCUAGUAACGGCGAGUGAAGCGGCAACAGCUCGAAUUUGAAAUCUGGCUUCGGCCCGAGUUGUAAUCUGUAGAGGAUGCUUUUGGCGCGGUGCCUUCCGAGUGCCCUGGAACGGGACGCCACAGAGGGUGAGAGCCCCGUAUGGUCGGACACCAAGCCUGUGUAAAGCUCCUUCGACGAGUCGGGUAGCUUGGGAAUGCUGCUCUAAGUGGGAGGUAAACUUCUUCUAAAGCUAAAUACUGGCCAGAGACCGAUAGCGCACAAGUAGAGUGAUCGAAAGAUGAAAAGCACUUUGAAAAGAGGGUCAAAUAGUACGUGAAAUUGUUGAAAGGGAAGCGCUCAUGACCAGACUUGCGCCGGGCUGAUCAUCCAGUGGUUUCCACUGGUGCACUCUGCCCGGCCCAGGCCAGCGUCGGCUGUCACGGGGGGACAAAAGCACUGGGAAAGUAGCUCUCUCCGGGGAGUGUUAUAGCCCUAUGCAGAAUACCCCCGCGGCGGCCGAGGUCCGCGCUCUGCAAGGACGCUGGCGUAAUGGUCAUCAGCGACCCGUCUUGAAACACGGACCAAGGAGUCGAGGUUUUGCGCGAGUGUUCGGGUGCAAAGCCCCAGCGCGUAAUUAAAGUGAACGUAGGUGAGAGCUUCGGCGCAUCAUCGACCGAUCCUGAGUAUUCGGAUGGAUUUGAGUAGGAGCGUAAAGCCUCGGACCCGAAAGAUGGUGAACUAUGCCUGUAUAGGGGAAGCCAGAGGAAACUCUGGUGGAGGCUCGCAGCGGUUCUGACGUGCAAAUCGAUCGUCAAAUAUGGGCAUGGGGCGAAAGACUAAUCGAACC
rnacentral:rRNA from 1 species